rnacentral:rRNA from 1 species
CCCUUAGAUGUUCUGGGCCGCACGCGCGCUACACUGAUGCAUUCAACGAGUCUAAAACCUGCUCUGAUAGGGGUGGGUAAUCUUUUGAAUGUGCAUCGUGAUUGGGAUAGAUGAUUGCAAUUUUUCAUCUUCAACGAGGAAUGCCUAGUAAACGCAAGUCAUCAGCUUGCAUUGAUUACGUCCCUGCCCUUUGUACACACCGCCCGUCGCUCCUACCGAUUGAAUGAUCCGAUGAAUAUCAUGGAUUGAGGAUGCAAGCAGGUUCGCCUGUCUUCAUCUUCGAGAAGCGAAGUAAAUCUUAUCAUUUAGAGGAAGGAGAAGUCGUAACA